AUGGAUGACAACCACUUCCCAAUUCUUAGCCGGAAUGUGCGAGGACUGAACAUGCCGGCUAAACGCGAUGUUGUGUGUGAAACGGCGACAACACACCAUCCAGCGAUACUAUGCCUCCAGGAAACCAAAAUUGAUGUCUGGUCGCCGGCCCUAGUCAAGGAUGUAGGAGGAGCGAGGCUGGCUGACUGCAUCGUCCUUCCGGCGAUAGGCACCAGGGGAGGGAUCACAGUUCUGUGGGAUAGCCAGAUCGUCUCGAUCGUUUCCCACGCUAUAGGAGAAUUUGCAAUCACUGCAAAAGUGAGCAUCCUGCGUUCGGCAACUGCGUUUUGGCUGACCACA
rnacentral:rRNA from 1 species